AACGAACGCUGGCGGCAGGCCUAACACAUGCAAGUCGAACGCCCUAGCAAUAGGGAGUGGCAGACGGGUGAGUAACACGUGGGAACGUGCCUUUCGGUUCGGAAUAACCCAGGGAAACUUGGACUAAUACCGGAUACGUGCGAGAGCAGAAAGAUUUAUCGCCGAAAGAUCGGCCCGCGUCCGAUUAGUUAGUUGGUGAGGUAAUGGCUCACCAAGGCGACGAUCGGUAGCUGGUCUGAGAGGAUGAUCAGCCACACUGGGACUGAGACACGGCCCAGACUCCUACGGGAGGCAGCAGUGGGGAAUAUUGGACAAUGGGGGAAACCCUGAUCCAGCAAUGCCGCGUGAGUGAAGAAGGCCUUAGGGUUGUAAAGCUCUCUCGGGCGGGACGAUGGUGACGGUACCCGCAGAAGAAGCCCCGGCUAACUUCGUGCCAGCCGCCGCGGU
rnacentral:rRNA from 1 species